rnacentral:lncRNA from 1 species
AAGAUAGACAAAGAAGCAUCUUUUGUGCCUGCUAGAAAGAUGAGGUAACAUACGCCAGCUACAUGUUUGUUGAAAUCCUUCUUCCUCCCAAUUAUUCGUGGUGAGAUAGCGUGAGGGAUGCCUGAGUUCUUCUGUUUUUAUAGGCAGCACGAGGGGUCGAGGGGAGAAUGAAGCUGAACGUCCUGGAGCUCAAAGGCUGUUGGCAGGCGGCGGUUUGUGAUCAUGAGUGCAAGGAAAUUAUCACGAUGCGGAAGUGGGAUCCGUUUUGCUCAUUCAUGGGCAUGGGUGCUCAUUGAGGAUGCACUAGCAGACAUUCAGGCUGCCAGAACGACGACGCGAAACGUCGUGAGGUUGAAGGAGAGGAACAGGUAAGCAUGUAUUGUGGGCUUGGCUUGAGGAUGGACUUGUUGUAUUGCAUGCUGACGUACGUGAAGGUCCUGGAUGCUAGCUUGUUUGAG